GCCUGGGUGGCUCAGUCGAUUGAGCGUCCGACUUCGGCUCAGGUCAUGAUCUCACGGUUCGUGGGUUCGAGCCCCACGUCGGGCU
rnacentral:tRNA from 1 species